AGUGAACGCUGGCGGUAGGCCUAACACAUGCAAGUCGAACGGCAGCACAGUAAGAGCUUGCCCUUACGGGUGGCGAGUGGCGGACGGGUGAGGAAUACAGGGGAACCACCUUUUUCGUGGGGGAUAACGAAGGGGAACUCACGCUAAUACCGCAUACGACCUACGGGUGAAAGCAGGGGAGCUUCGGACCUUGCGCGAUGGAAUGAGCGGAUGUCGAGUCAGCUAGUUGGCGGGGGAAAGGCCCACCAAGCAGACGAUCCGUAGCUGGUCUGAGAGAAGGAUCAUCCCCGCUUGGGCUGGGUCACCGUCCAGACUCCUACGGGAGCCCGCCGUGGGGACUAUUGGACGACGGGCGCAGGCCUGAUCCCGCCAUGCCGCGUGGGUUGAGGAGGCCUUCGGGUUGUAAAGCCCUUUUGUUGGGAAAGAAAAGCAUCAGGUUACUACCCCGCUGUUCUGACGGUACCCAAAGAAUAAGCACCGGCUAACUUCGUG
rnacentral:rRNA from 1 species